rnacentral:rRNA from 1 species
CCGGAGGGAAACCGAGUCUUAACCGGGCGUUAAGUUGCAGGGUAUAGACCCGAAACCCGGUGAUCUAGCCAUGGGCAGGUUGAAGGUUGGGUAACACUAACUGGAGGACCGAACCGACUAAUGUUGAAAAAUUAGCGGAUGACCUGUGGCUGGGGGUGAAAGGCCAAUCAAACCGGGAGAUAGCUGGUUCUCCCCGAAAGCUAUUUAGGUAGCGCCUCGUGAAUUCAUCUCCGGGGGUAGAGCACUGUUUCGGCUAGGGGGCCAUCCCGGCUUACCAACCCGAUGCAAACUGCGAAUACCGGAGAAUGUUAUCACGGGAGACACACGGCGGGUGCUAACGUCCGUCGUGAAGAGGGAAACAACCCAGACCGCCAGCUAAGGUCCCAAAGUCAUGGUUAAGUGGGAAACGAUGUGGGAAGGCCCAGACAGCCAGGAUGUUGGCUUAGAAGCAGCCAUCAUUUAAAGAAAGCGUAAUAGCUCACUGGUCGAGUCGGCCUGCGCGGAAGAUGUAACGGGGCUAAACCAUG